rnacentral:rRNA from 1 species
GGGGAAUAUUGCACAAUGGGCGAAAGCCUGAUGCAGCAACGCCGCGUGAGUGAUGAAGGUCUUCGGAUUGUAAAGCUCUGUCUUUUGGGACGAUAAUGACGGUACCAAAGGAGGAAGCCACGGCUAACUACGUGCCAGCAGCCGCGGUAAUACGUAGGUGGCGAGCGUUGUCCGGAUUUACUGGGCGUAAAGGGUGCGUAGGCGGAUGUUUAAGUGAGAUGUGAAAUACCCGGGCUUAACUUGGGUGCUGCAUUUCAAACUGGAUAUCUAGAGUGCAGGAGAGGAGAAUGGAAUUCCUAGUGUAGCGGUGAAAUGCGUAGAGAUUAGGAAGAACACCAGUGGCGAAGGCGAUUCUCUGGACUGUAACUGACGCUGAGGCACGAAAGCGUGGGUAGCAAACAGGAUUAGAUACCCUGGUAGUCCACGCC